CGGCUCGCUGUCGCUGGCUUUUCGGAGCAUGUGCACGCUUGUUCGAGACUUCAUUUCCAUCCACCUGUGCACUUUUGUAGUCUCAGUAAGAAGGGUUGACGUUGGGUUGUCAGGACUAGUUCCUGGAUUUGAGGGCUCUGCCGCUGGCAGACUCUCUGUUUUCGGCCCUCGUCUCUCGACUUGAGCGCUACGUUUCACAUACCUUUUUAAAAUGUCAAAGAAUGUCUUUACAUGGGCUCUGCCUGUGAUAAAAUAUAUACAACUUUCAGCAACGGAUCUCUUGGCUCUCGCAUCGAUGAAGAACGCAGCGAAAUGCGAUAAGUAAUGUGAAUUGCAGAAUUCAGUGAAUCAUCGAAUCUUUGAACGCACCUUGCGCUCUUUGGUAUUCCGAAGAGCAUGCCUGUUUGAGUGUCAUUAAAUUCUCAACCCUCAACCUCUUUUUCGAGAGGCUUUGGGCUUGGACUGUGGAGGCUUUGCUGGUGAAGAUCAGCUCCUCUGAAAUGCAUUAGCGGAACCGUUUGCGAUCUGCCACAAGUGUGAUAAUUAUCUACGCUGGCUAGGGGGAUCGCUCUCUUUGCGUUCGGCUUCUAAUCGUCUUCGGACAAACCAAUGAACUCUUGACCUCAAAUCAGGUAGGACUACCCGCUGAACUUAAGCAUAU
rnacentral:rRNA from 1 species